UAGGGAAUCUUCCACAAUGGACGCAAGUCUGAUGGAGCAACGCCGCGUGAGUGAAGAAGGUUUUCGGACCGUAAAGCUCUGUUGUUGGUGAAGAAGGAUAGAGGUAGUAACUGGCCUUUAUUUGACGGUAAUCAACCAGAAAGUCACGGCUAACUACGUGCCAGCAGCCGCGGUAAUACGUAGGUGGCAAGCGUUGUCCGGAUUUAUUGGGCGUAAAGCGAGCGCAGGCGAAGAAUAAGUCUGAUGUGAAAGCCCUCGGCUUAACCGAGGAAUUGCAUCGGAAACUGUUUUUCUUGAGUGCAGAAGAGGAGAGUAGAACUCCAUGUGUAGCGGUGGAAUGCGUAGAUAUAUGGAAGAAUACCAGUGGCGAAGGCGGCUCUCUGGUCUGCAACUGACGCUGAGGCUCGAAAGCAUGGGUAGCGAACAGGAUUAGAUACCCUGGUAGUCCAUGCGUAAACGAUGAGUGCUAAGUGUUGGGAGGCUUCCGCCUCUCAGUGCUGCAGCUAACGCAUUAAGCACUCCGCCUGGGGGAGUACGAC
rnacentral:rRNA from 1 species